UGUUGGAUUGCAAUGAUAAAUAAGGGGCAAUUUGCAUUGUUUGCCUCUAACCCAUAAAAGUUUUUAAUUUGUUUUAUUAAGGACAAUGGAUGUGAUGCCAAUGUUAUUUAUAACAUAGUAAAUUGGGAGGGAUUUUUGGAUCACCUGAUGCCGCGCUAGUUAUAUUUUAAAACAUUAUUUAAUACAAAUGUCAAAGCCUAGAAUUCAAUUGUAAACGACUUUUGUAACAGGCAAGGUGUUGUAAGUGGUUGAGCAGCUGCCAUACUGCGAUCCACUGAAGCUUAUCCUUUGCUUGAUGAUUCGA
rnacentral:ncRNA from 1 species